CAACGAUGAUAGGCAAUGAUGAUGGUGAUGAUGAUGGAUUGAUGAUAAUACCUGGUGGACACGCUUCACUACCAAUCGUGGCUGGUGGUCCCGGCCAUCAUCAUCAUCAUCAUCAUCGUCAUCAUUA
rnacentral:pre_miRNA from 1 species